rnacentral:misc_RNA from 1 species
AAGGCCUCAAGAAGUGGUUUUGAUAAUGGGGAAUUUUCAAGUGCUUCAACUAGAACCUCCCUAGCUUUUUCUACAUUUGCAGCAACCAAAUAUAGAAAUCGGGAGUAUUGUGCAUACCAUUGGCAACACCUGUGAAUGCUCUUUUCCUUUUUCAAUGGCUAUGGCCUGUUCAUACAGAGAGAAGGCAUCUUUGAGGUUCCCCAGGCGAUGUUCCAUGUUUGCAUGCUUAACAACCGCUUCAAGAAGACCAGGUGUGAUUUCAGUGUGCACAAGUUGGUAUGCAGCUCGGGCACCAGGUAUAUCUCCACUCUGCUCUCUAAAUCGAGCAGCAAAAAGGUGAAUCUCUGGUUGUCUCUUGACAAA